UCGAGUUUACAACUCCCAAACCCCUGUGAACAUACCUAUCGUUGCUUCGGCGGGAUCGCCCCGGCGCCUCCGGGCCCGGACCCGGGCGCCCGCCGGAGGACCCAAACUCUUGAAUUUACGGUGUAUCUUCUGAGUGAAAACAAGCAAAUAAAUCA
rnacentral:misc_RNA from 1 species